GAUGAACGCUAGCUACAGGCUUAACACAUGCAAGUCGAGGGGUAACGAGAGGAAAGCUUGCUUUCCUUGUCGACGACCGGCGCACGGGCGAGUAACGCGUAUCCAACCUGCCCCCAACUAGGGAAUAACCUUGCGAAAGUAAGACUAAUACCCUAUAAUUUCCUCAGAUGUCAUCUGACGAGGAAUAAAGAUUUAUCGGUUGUGUAUGGGGAUGCGUCUGAUUAGCUUGUUGGCGGGGUAACGGCCCAACAAGGCAACGAUCAGUAGGGGUUCUGAGAGGAAGGUACCCCACAUUGGAACUGAGACACGGUCCAAACUCCUACGGGAGGCAGCAGUGAGGAAUAUUGGUCAAUGGGCGGAAGCCUGAACCAGCCAAGUAGCGUGCAGGAUGACGGCCCUAUGGGUUGUAAACUGCUUUUAUACAGGAAUAAAGUUAGCCACGUGUGGUUAUUUGUAGGUACUGUAUGAAUAAGGACCGGCUAAUUCCGUGCCAGCCGCCGCGGUAA
rnacentral:rRNA from 1 species